rnacentral:lncRNA from 1 species
AAAAAAAAAAAAAAAAAAAGUGGAAAGAGGGAGUAGCUCAGGAUCCUGAAGCUACAGAGUCCAGACAGCUGCGUUUGGCAGAUGCUAUCUUGACCAUCCUUCUGCACUCAGCUGGUCAAGGCCAUUUGUCUUUACCAACCAUGGCCAAUAAUCAUAGUUUAUUCUGUGUUCUAGUCCAGGUUCAAAGUCCUUGACAGGUAUGUGGGGGAGUGGAGAAAAAUCUUUAUGAAAUGUGACGAAGUUCAAUGAAAUAAAUGCAUCAGAUAUUCUGAGGAGGUUGCUAGUGUGAUGUUCCCUUCUUAGUAGUAUUUAGACUGAAGAUCACAAAGUAAUUGAAAAGGAGACUACUUUCUUUUAAGGGAGCAUGUUUUUCAGUUUUAGUACUGAGGAAAUAAUGCUCUAAUUUGUGUAAUGCUGGUUGGUCAGUGUUUCCUAGGGGAAUUCCAAACUGUCACUUCAAAACCAAGUGUUCUAUAAAUAUUAUUAGAGAAGAUAAUUAUAAUUUAAUUAUAAUUCCUUUUGGAAUUAAGGGGGGUACAAAUCAGUAAAAUGUAAAUUUUUCAGUUUUUUCUUUAAGAUUUAUUGUAAGACAUUUGUAUAGGAAAUGUGGAGAAUAAAAAGUUUGACAUUUAUAACCUCACCAACCAGCAUGGUUGCUAAUAUUUUGGGUGUGUUUUCUUGGGAGUGAUGUUUAAACAUAGUCAAGAUCUUGCUGUUUAAUGAAUGUGUAUCAUGCUUCUUUCACUUUAUCAUAAACAACCGUGUUCCUAGAAGCCAUUCACGAGGAUGGCUGAGAAUGGCUGCAGAAUAUUUCAUCAGAUCAAUAUAAGCAGGCCACCAAAUAAUGGUCUGCAUUGGGACUCUGUUGCUAGUGACAAGAAACCUAAGUCAAAGUUGUUUAAACAAAAAGAGUUCAUUGAUCUUAUAUUAUUCAGAACUUGGCUUUCAUUUCCUGGCUCCUCUUUCUGCCGUGUUAGUUUUCAUUGCAGCCAGCAAUCUUACCACCAAGAGGAUGUGUCCUUCCUAGCUGGGCCCUAGCCAUUCCCGAAUAAUCACUGUGUCUGGGAAUGGGGUGCCCUCUUUGGCCGAACUUGAGUAGUGUGGCUUCUCCUGGAGUUGCGGGUUCACUCAGCACCAUCAGAAUCACAGAGACUGGGAGAAUGUAGAAGGGGGACUCCUGCAAUGAAAAGAGUGCUUAUGCGAACUGAAGGAACACUGAGCAGGCAAAAACCAAAGGCUAUUAGCAUUUUCUCCAGUUUUUGCAUAUUUAGGUUACUUUCAGUUUUUUCCUCUUAGAAAAGUCUUACACAUAAAAUAUUUUCUACAUUUCUGUUUAUUUCCUUAGAUUCCCAGCAGUGGAAUUUCCAAGCCAAAAGCUUUUGGUACAUGUUAUAAAUUGCUUUUAAGAAUGUGUAUCAAUUAUAAUGUCCAGUGUUUGCUUUAAAACAUUCUAGCAAAGAAAAAAGUAUAGGGGAUUAGAUGAGGAGAAACUGGCAAAAUGGUAACAGUUGAAGCUAGGUGAGGUGCCUGGAGAUUCAUUUUGCUAUUAUUCUCUUUUGUGUAUGUCUGAAAAUUACAAAGAUUUCUAAAUUGAAUUGAAAAAAAAUAAAGAAUUGAGGAUCUAGAGAGGUUAAGUGACUUUCCCAAGCCCACCCAGUUCUGGUCUCCAGGCUUUAAAUCCUGGCCAUUUCUUCUACUCCACACUAAAUUGGCAUGUGGUCAUAUUGUCUGAGACACAGAUUAUGCCAGCGUAAGGCUUCCUGACUCUUCUUCACCCCGCAACACACCAAGGCAGGAAUGCAGAGCUAAUCUAUGUUUGUGGGUGGGGAGGGGGCAUGAGUAGUGGGUGCUAGGGAGCUAGAUAACAAGUUUGGCUUGGUGAUUCAGGAGUUCAAUAGAGAUUUCUUGAAAGGAUGUUUUCAGUAAAAUUUUGGAAAAUACAUAAUAAUGGGGGAGGGGAGAGAAUUUAUAUCAAUGAACAGCCCUGCAAGCAGUGUAUGAAAGUGCUUACUCUGCGAUGGGUUAAAAUAGUGUGUUAUUUUAAUUGGCAAUUCUUAAGGUUACUAAUAACAUUGAACAUUAAAAUUUAUUUUGGUUUAUUUUUCCUCAUUGAAAACUGUCAAUUUAUAUUCUUUGUCCACUUAUGUUUGGGGGAUCAUUUUAAAAAAUUGAUCUUGCUGAAUUCUGUAUAUUCAGUCUAUGAAAUCAUUUAGUUAGUAAAUUUGUUGCUAAUACUCAGUUUUCCUUUUAAGUUAUUUUGUUUAAAACCUAUAGAUUUUCCAUUUCUAUAGAAGAAAUUAACAUAAUAUUUUUCCCUUGACUUCUUUAAGUUUAAUUUCCUUUAAACUUGGUAUGUUUGUUUCCUUUGAGAAAUUUGAUAAAUGUCAAUUCAGAUUUUCAAAUUGUUAUGUUUAAUUUUUAUACUUUUUAAUCCUUUAGAAUGCAUUUUGUGUAUAAUAUUCUUCACUUUUUUGGAUGACAAACCCAAAUUAUGCUUAGCUUUUGUAGUCUAGAUGUGAACCCAAAUCUAAGCAUAGCUUUCUCAGAAGUGAGGAUGUAAGUGAGUUAGGGCCAUCGGCCUAGCCUGCUGGACAGUCUGUCUGAGAGACACUCUGUAUCCCUUAGCUUGAACUUGAGGGAUUGGAAUUGGCAAAGAAGCAUGGUUCUGAUAAUAUUCUCAUAACCUUUGGAGGUUGUCUAACACACACACACACACUCCUUAGCUAGAUUCUCAAGUCCCACCACAAUAAAACUUCAGCUGGCUCUCCCAACAUUAUCUGCCAUUCCUCAGUGUAUCCUAUGCCAUGACCAGCCAAUCUGAUCUGGUUAUACCCCAAACUUUUCCCUUUGGACUUUUCCACAUGCUCCUCCCUUAGCCAGGCAUCUCCUACCUCCUCAUCUCCCUCACUUUUCAGGAGUAGGUAGUCCUUUGAAGGCCGAGUCUGCAUCUGAUAUAUUUAUCACUGUAGCCCCAAAACACCAAGUGUCAAUAUUCCAUUACGUGGAGUAACCCCUCAAUGAAAUUUUAACAAACGUUUUGCUUACAGACUUUGUACUUUAGUGAAUAUAGUGGAAGAUGGAGGUUGGACCUCCAACUUGCUGUGUGACUUAGAAUGAAGUGAUUUGUUUCAGUGAAGGCACAUUUAAUCCCAAGCACUUGGCAAAUCUCAAGGAGACUUUGCUUGGCACCCCAGACAUCAGCCUCCAUUAAGGAAUGGCAUUCCACAUUACAGGCUUGGAUGGAGACAUCUGUCUUGUGGGCACGCUGAGCAACUCUGCCACAAACGUUCCAUGAGGAAGCAAGGGAUUUCGAAGCAAGCUUCUUCCAUCUGGUGAAAAAGAUGAACACCAGGCGUGUCUGAUCUUCCCAGAGGAAGAAGGGAGCAUCUUUUUGAACAGCAUUUCUGUGAGAAAUGGGAUCCUAAGGUGGCCUCCAAGAUUGACACGCCAUGGUACAAUCUUCGUGAUCGUAAGAAGAACCUGUGAAUACGAUGAGCUAUCACUCCUGUGCUUUUGCGGUUUUAUGUGGCAAAGGGAGAGUGUUCUGGGUGGGCCUGACCUGAUCAGGCAUAUCCUCUAAAAUCAGAGUUUUCUCCAGCUGGUUCCAGAAGACUAAGUCAGAGAGAUGCUCUGUGUUUGGGCCAGAAGCAAGCAAACAUCCACAUUGUGAACUGCCUAUGGGGGCCACCUGGCAAGGAACUGCAGGUGUUUUCUGGGACCUGAGAGCAUUCCCUGGCCAAUCAUUAGCAGGAAAACAGGAACUCACUCCUAUAACUGAGAGGAAAUAAAAUUUACCAACAACCAAUGAGCCUGGAAGAAGACCCUGAGCCUCAAAUGAGAACUGCAGCCCCAGCCAACACUGAUUUCAGCCUUGUAAGUACCUGAGCAGAGAACUCAGCCAUGCUAUAUCAGGACUUCUGACCUACAUUACUGUAAGAUCAUAAAUGUGUUGUUUUAAGCCACUACAUUUGUGAUAGUUUGUUAUGCAGCAAUAGAAAGCUAAUACAACUUCCAAAAAUUCUA